AGCCAAUGCAGUGCAUGCACUGUUGACCCAGUUAUGCGUCAUUGCUCAUGUGGUGGGACGAGCACAGAGGGUGUGCUGAUUCACUGCGAACAAACAACAUUGAUCCCAUUGCCAAAAGGGAAAAGUUUCUUCAGAUUUCUUUUGACACCUGUAGAUUAUUUUAAGGAGCUACUUGGAUUAUUCGAGCGCCACCUAACUGAAUGGCUGUUCAGUGGUUUAUGAAUUAAAAUGCAGUGGGCUCUGGAGAGAGUGCAUGUGUGCAGUGGAUGGACAGCGGCUCCGGUUCACUCUCGACAUGAAGAGAUUCAUCCGUGUGUCGCAGCUGGCCGCGAUUCUGCUCUACAUUCCUCUUGUACAGGUUUUAACCAUUCUGGGCAAUUCCCAUUCCAAAGUCAGUGUCGUUCUCUGGAGUGGAUGGUGGAGGUGGAGCAGGAGUCGAGCACAUCUACAAUCCCGGCUGUGUGCCGCUGCUGCGCUGCUCCUGAUGCUGCAAUGAUGACAAACUGGCCUGUUUCCCCGCCAGCACACACAACAUCAGCAUCCAGGCACAGACACUGUCACCUCAGUCACAUACGCUGCUAUUCUUUACUGUGGGACACAUUUAUAAAGAAUCUUCACACAGCUGUUUUCAUUUAACAGCAGUUCAUAGUGACUAAACAUCAACAAAAACAUCCGGGUGACUUCUGAACACACUGGAAUCAGGGUUAUUAACGAAAACUAAAGCUAAAACCAAA